GGCGUCACCCCGCUUGGAGUGGGAGCUGGGCCGGCCGGGGUCGCCGUCCGAGGCCGGUCGUGGGGAUUUCGAGCACUGCGAACACGGCGCCGUCCGCGCCGCCCUCCGUCCUCGGUCACACACGGCCCUGUGAGUUUCCCUUCCGGACUCCCACCGUCGCCGGGAACGAACGGAGGCGCCGGCUGCGGCCCCGCAGGGUGCCCCGACCGCGGCUCCCGAGAGGCCCCUCGCCAGCAGCCGCCCGCGCCGCGGAGGGCUCGGCCCGACUCCCUGCUCCACCUCGGGGCGCAGUGGCAGCCAGGUUCCGGGGCUCCUCCGUCCGCGUCCUCUUCAGCCUCGUUCGAAUGUGACAGCAGCUGGGUCAUGUUGUCCAAACGUACCAGGAGCCCCAGAUCCUCCCUGCAGCGCGUGCCCCAGCGCGCCCGGUGGCCCAGGAGCCCCUGCACCCCCGCAGCCGUCCUGUCCCGCCUCCUUCCAGCUCCCAAAAGGGACCGCAGAUGGGGACUGCCGGAGUCCGGGCCUGGGGCAACACCCAGCCUGAGACGGGCAGGCCCUGGGCUCGGGCGGGCAUGGAUCUGGCCUCAGCAGGGCCCCAGGAGUCAGGUUGACUCAGCCCCUCACUCCUGCCACCCUCUGCAGUGAUGGGGGGCUUCCUCCCCAUGGUCACUCCCAGAGGUCCCAGCUCGGUGCCCAAUCAAGGCCUGACCCCGUGGUCCCCAGGGGCUGCUGGAGAGGCCGCAGGGCAGGAGAGACAGACCCUUAGAAGUAUGAUGGGGGCCGGGCCCUAGGUAGCUCACACAUGUAAUCCCAACAUUUUGGGAGGCAGAGGCAGGCGGAUCACUUGAGGUCAGGAGUUUAAGACCAGCCUGGCCAACAUGGCGAACUCCCCACCCACAACUCUACAAAAAAAUACAAAAAUUAGCCGGGCGUGGUGGCACAUGCCUGUAAUCCCAGUAACUUGGGAAACUGAGGAAGGAGAAUUGCUUGUGAUUGAGAGGCGAGGUUGCAGUGAGCCCAUGUCGCGCUCGCCACUGCACUCUAGCCUGAGCAACAUAGGGAGACCAUCUCAAAAAAAAGGCCGGGCGCGGUGGCUCACGCCUGUAAUCCCAGCACUUUGGGAGGCCAAGGUGGGCGGAUCAUGAGGUCAGGACAUCGAGACCAUCCUGUGAAUGGUGAAACCCCGUCUCUACUAAAAAUACAAAAAAAUUAGCCGGGCAUAGUGGCGGGUGCCUGCAGUCCCAGCUACUCGGGAGGCUGAGGCGGGAGAAUGGCGUGAACCCGGGAGGCGGAGCUUGGAGUGAGCCGAGAUCGCGCCACUGCACUCCAGCCUGGGCGACAGGGCAAGACUCCGUCUCAAAAAACAAAAAAAAGUCUGGUGGACAGGCUGGGCCUACCCCCAGGGGACCCCAGGGCAAGCCUGGGCAGAGCUCCAGGAGGCGUGCAGCAGCGCCCAGCCAGUCUCAGAUGUGCGUCAGCCACAGGCUCCAGGGGCCACGUGCCUGGCCACACCUGCUGGUUUCCAAAACACCCAGCACCUGCAGGCCCAGCCUCCCCAGGAGGGGCAGCACCCCUGCUUGAGGACUCCUGGUUCCACCCAAAUCCCUGCUGCUUGGGGUCCUCUUCCACCCCUGGGCAGCCCCCAUGCCCUCAGGCCUCCCAGACCACCACCUUGGCCUGUGCCCCCUCCAGGACCUCACUGGUCCCCAUGCCGUACCCCACCCCUUAUUGCCUCCUCCAAGCAAACCUUGCAUCAGCUCCCAGGAGACACACGCUGGAGCAUGCUGGAGCCUCAGGACAGCAUUCUAGACAAACAGCCUCAGGCCCCAGGGGCAGUCCCAGGAGAAGGCCGUGGCUUUGGGGUGAGUCCUGCCUAGGAGUCAAGGGGCUGAGACCCUGGGGGUUCUGCAUGGAGCCCUGGGCCUGGAUGGCCCUGCUGAAGGGCCACAGCUGCCCCCUCCUGCCCCAGGGCAUGUGCUGUGGUGCCUGCCUCCACUUCAGAAGAUGUCGGGGCUGCACUUGGGUCCCAGUCAUGAGUCCCAGGGACUCCACUGCCCUGAUGGGCUGGGCUGACAUUGUACAUUCUGGACUCCCUGAGGCCAAGGCCUGUUAUCUCCAAGCCUUGAAGAUGGGAACUAGUGGAGCCCAGGCCUGGGGGCAACACCCAGUCUGAGAGGGGCAGGCCUGCCUCUCACGCCUACCCCCAGAGAGCUUCAGCCACUCCCAAGGGCUGGCCAAGCUGGCCUGGGUGGACACUGCCCAUCUUCCCCACGCCCAGGCCAGCACUCCCAGGAGUCCCUCCUGCAGGGAUAUUGGCAGCUCCAGGACAGUCCUCAGCUACACAUGUCCCCACCAUGUGCCCUGCCAGCCUGUGGCUCUGCAGGCCCCUGAGACACCCUCCCCAUGCCUGCUUCUCCACCCAAACAUUUAGAAGCAUCUCAUGCUAAAAAGGUCCAAAAAGCAGCCCAUGCUCUCCCACCUCCGCUGUAACGGCUCUGCUGCCCCGUUGCUUACAACACCCAGGUGUCAGCCUCGACUCCCCCACUGCCCUCGACCCUGUGCCACCAGCAAAUCUGUCACUCAGGAAUACUCAGCCCUGCCCAACCUUCACAGCCCAUCUGCACUCCUCUCUGGUCACCCUGGCCCUACGGGACGUUCUCCUCUCAGCCGCCAGAGGGGGUCAUGUCCCUGCUCAGAGCCCCGCUGCUUCCCAUCACGCUGUCGCCUGCCCUUGGUGAGCUGACCCCACUGGUCAGCGUGUUAGGCUGGAAGGACUAAGACACCACACUGUGGCCUGUGCUCAGAAUUUAUCUUUUUUCAGAAAACAGGUGAUGAAUGCUAAUGGCCUUUUUGGCAAGAAUGGAAAAGCUGAUCCUCAAAUUCAUGUGGAAUUGCAAGGGCCCUGAAUAAUCAGAACAAUCUUGAAAACAAAGAACAAGGCCAGGCACGGUGGAUCACUCUUGUCAUCCCACCACAGUGAGAGGUUGAAGUGGGAGGAUCUCUUGAGCCCAGGAGUUCGAGACCAGCCUGGGCACCAUAGGGAUACCCUCUGUCUACAAACAAAACAUUAAAAAAAAAUUAGCUGGGCAUGGCCGGGCGCAGUGGCUCAUGCCUGUAAUCCCAGCACUUUGGGAGGCCGAGGCGGGCAGAUCACGACGUCAGGAGAUCGAGACCAUCCUGGCUAACACUGUGAAACCCUGUCUCUACUAAAAAAUACAAAAAAAAUUAGGCAGGCAUGGUGGCAGACGCCUGUAGUCCCAGCUACUCGGGAGGCUGAGGCAGGAGAAUAGCGUGAACCUGGGAGGCGGAGUUUGCAGUGAGCCGAGAUCGUGCCAUUGCACUCCAGCCUGGGUAACAGAGUGAGACUCUGUCUCAAAAAAAAAAAAAAAAAUAGCCAGGCGUGGUGGCGGGCGCCUGUAGUCCCAGCUACUGGGGAGGCUGAGGCAGGAGGAUGGCGUGAACCUGGGAGUUGGAGCAUGCAGUGAGCUGAGAUCAUGCCACUGCACUCCAGCCUGGGUGACAGAGCGAGACUCUGUCUCAAAAAAAAAAAAAAAAUUAGCCGGGCAUGGUGGCACCUGCCUGUGAUCCCAGCUACUUGGGAGUUUACUUGGGCCUGGGAGGUAGAAGCUGCACUGAGCCGUGAUGGUGCCAUUGCACCCCAGCCUGAGUGACAGAGUGAGACCCUGUCUCAAAAAAUAAAAAUAAAGGCCGGAUGCAGUGGCUUCUGCCUAUAAUAGCAGCGCUUUGGGAGGCUGAGACGGGUAGAUCACCUGAGGUCAGGAGUUUGAGACCAGCUUGGCCAACAUGGCGAAACCCCAUCUCUACUAAAAAUAAAAAUUAUGCGCAUGUGGUGGUGCACACCUGUAAUCCCAACUAUUCGGGAGGCUGGGACAGGAGAAUUGCUUGAACCUGGGAGGCGGAGGUUGCAGUGAGCUAGUAUCAUGUCACUGCACUCCAACCUGGGCAACAAAGCAAGACUCUGUCUCAAAAAAAUCAAAAAAAGUUACCAUAUUACCCAGCAACUCUGGUCCUAGGUAUAUGUCCCAAAGAAUUUAAAACAGAUGUUCAAACAAAAGAAUGUGUGUGGCCAAGCACAGUGGCUCACGCCUGCAAUCCCAGCAUUUUGGGACGCUGAGGGGGGGCAGAUCACCUGAGGUCAGGAGUUCAAGACCAGCCUGGCCAACAUGGUGAAACCCCAUCUCUACUAAAAGUGCAAAAAUUAGCCAGGCAUGGUGGGCACGCCUGUAUUCCCAACUACUCAGGAGGCUGAGGCAGGAGAAUCGCUUGAACCCGGAAGGCGGAGGUUGCAGUGAGCCAAUAUCACACCACUGCACUCCAGCCUGGGCGAUGGAGUGAGACUCUGUCUUGGGAAAAAAAGGAAUGUGUAUAACAGCAUUGUUUAUAAUAGCUAAAGGACCACCCUGGGCAAUAGGAUGGGACCCCAUCUCUACAAAAAAAAUUUGUUUUAAUUAGCCAGGCAUGGUGGCAGGCACCUCUAUUCCCAGCUACUUGGGAGGCCAAGGCAGGAGGAUCACUUGAGCCAAGGAGGUUGAGGCUGCAGCAAGCCAUGAUUGCAUCACUGCACUCCAACCCCACCACAGAGCGAGACC
rnacentral:lncRNA from 1 species